AAGUCGUAACAAGGUUUCCGUAGGUGAACCUGCGGAAGGAUCAUUAAAAAAUUAUCAACACUUUGGCUGGUCUUUUCUGACCAGUGCUGGUGUGAAUACCCUAUGUGCAUCCAUUGAAACUUUUGCUUUGGCAGAGAUGCCCUUUGGGGUAGAUCUGCCAAGGGUUGUUCUCCAAUCCUAUCCUGAUCAUUUUGACUGAAUGUUUUUAAAACAAAACUAAAUACAACUUUCAACAACGGAUCUCUUGGCUCUCGCAUCGAUGAAGAACGCAGCGAAAUGCGAUACGUAAUGUGAAUUGCAGGAUUCAGUGAAUCAUCGAGUCUUUGAACGCAUAUUGCACUCUCUGGCAUUCCGGAGAGUAUGCCUGUUUCAGUAUCAAGGAAAUCCUCAAUCUCGAAAGAGAUUGGAUCUGGGCAAUUUGCAUGAAGGCCUUUUCGGCGGUUGUGCUUGCCUGAAAUUCAAUCGUAGACCCUGAAGGCAAUUAAAAGGUGUCAUAGUUGGACCAUUGGUUCCAUCUUUCACCGAACUCUUUGCUACCAUGGGAUCAAUCUGCGUCUGCUGUUUCCAAUUUUUUUUCGAGGCAGCAGAAAAAAAACUUCUCCAAAUUUUGAUCUGAAAUCAGGUAGGAUUACCCGCUGAACUUAAGCAUAUCAAUAAGCGGAGGAAAAGAAACUAACAAGGAUUCCCUCAGUAACGGCGAGUGAAGCGGGAAGAGCUCAAAUUUAAAAUCUGGUGCUUCUGGCAUCCGAGUUGUAAGCUAUAGAGGCGUUUUCGGCGGGCGCCCGGGUAUAAGUCCUUUGGAACAGGGCAUCAUAGAGGGUGAGAAUCCUGUCUUUGAUCCGGAUGCAGCCUGCUAUGUGAUACGUUCUCGAAGAGUCGGUUUGUUUGGGAAUGCAGACCAAAAUGGGUGGUAAAUUCCAUCUAAAGCUAAAUAUAGGCGAGAGACCGAUAGCGAACAAGUACCGUGAGGGAAAGAUGAAAAGAACUUUGAAAAGAGAGUUAAACAGUACGUGAAAUUGUUGAAAGGGAAACGUUUGGAAUCAGUCUUGUCUGCAGGAAAUCAGCCUUGCUUCAGUAGGGUGCAAUUUCCUGUGAACAGGUCAGCGUCGGUUUUGGUUGCCAGAAAAUGGCUUUGGGAAAGUGGCUCUUCGGAGUGUUAUAGCCCAGGGUCGAUAUGGUGACCGGGACCGAGGCUCGCAGCCAGCCGGUUCAUCCGGUGGAGGGCCCGGGUGCUGGUCGUUGCCUUGACGAGAACAGCUUUGCUGAUCGCGGCGAGGUUUUCGGUCACCCGCUCGAGGUCUUUCUUCCUGGCUUAGGUCGCUGACUUAAUGAUUCCAAAUGAC
rnacentral:rRNA from 1 species